GAGUUUGAUCCUGGCUCAGAACGAACGCUGGCGGCGUGCCUAACACAUGCAAGUCGAACGGAUUUGAGGAGCUUGCUUCUCAAGUUAGUGGCGCACGGGUGAGUAACGCGUAGAUAAUCUGCCUGAUGAUCUGGGAUAACACUUCGAAAGGGGUGCUAAUACCGGAUAAGCCCACGGAGUCUUUGGACUUUGCGGGAAAAGGGGGGGACCUUCGGGCCUUCUGUCAUCARAUGAGUCUGCGUACCAUUAGCUAGUUGGUAGGGUAAAGGCCUACCAAGGCUACGAUGGUUAGCUGGUCUGARAGGAUGAUCAGCCACACUGGAACUGAGACACGGUCCAGACUCCUACGGGAGGCAGCAGUGGGGAAUUUUGCGCAAUGGGCGAAAGCCUGACGCAGCAACGCCGCGUGAGUGAUGAAGGCUUUCGGGUCGUAAAGCUCUGUCGAGGGGAAAGAAGUGUAUUAGGGCUAAUAUCCCUAAUACUUGACGGUACCCCUAAAGGAAGCACCGGCUAACUCCGUGCCAGCAGCCGCGGUAAUAC
rnacentral:rRNA from 1 species